rnacentral:lncRNA from 1 species
UAAAGGCUAAUAUUGAACAGUUAAUAUGUUCUAGGUAAUAUCCUAAGAAUUUAACAUUCAUUAACUCAAUAAGCCCACGUGGCAACACUCUGAAAUGGGUGUUGUAAUGAUCUUCAUUUUAAAGAUGGGUGCCUGGAGGCAAGAGUGUGUUGGGGAUAUCACAUGGAUUAAUUAAAUAUUUAUUAGAUGCUGAGAUCUUUCAGGGGAAGGAAUUUUUUAUUAUCUCCAGGGCCCAGUACACAAUAGGUGCUCCAUAGUUAUUUUCAUGUUGAAUAAGUGAUAUAGAUCAAAGGUUGGCAAACUUUUUCUGUAAGAGGCCAGGUAGCAAGUAUGUUAGGCUGUGGGCUCCAUGAGGUCCCUGUUGCAGCUUCUCAACUCUGCCGUUGUAGUGCAAAAAUGGCCAGAGACAAUGUGGAAAUCAGUGAGCAUGGCCGUGUUCUGAUAAAAUGAUUUCUAAAGACAGGUGGCAGGACAGAUGUGGCUGCAGGCUGCAGCUUCCCCUGAUCUAGGUGAUACUGAUUCUGAUGCUGUUAAACAGUACCAUUUGCUAAGUGCCUACUCUGUGCGAGGCACUAUUAUAAGUACUUUCAUGCAUUGUCUCAUGAGAUACAGAUGAAGAAAGUAGGCUUAUGGGGUUUAAGUAACUUGUCCAGAUCUGUGAGACUACAGAGCCCAGACAAAGGAGACAGUGUUACAGAUUUUGAACAUUAUUCAGGUGAAAGUAUAAGUGGAUUCUAGAUCCUUACUACUCAAAGUCUCGUCCAUGGACUGGCAGCACUGGCAUCACCUGAGGGCUUGUGAGGAAUGCGGACUGUUGGGCCCCUCACUAAGAAAUCUUGAAUUAGAAUCUACGUGGUCACAGGAUUCCCAGGGAUUUCCAUAUAUGUUAAAAUUUGAGGAGCAGAUGAAGGUUCUAGAUCAUUCACAUUUAAAGACAAACACUGCCCAGAUGUCUGGGUUUUGUGAAUAACAUGGGAUUUCAUUCAUCUUGUGAGGGUAAAUCUACUGUCAGCCCAGCCCGUUUCUAGAACAACAGAGCUAUGAACAUCAAUGAGGAAAGGUAAGUUUAGACGCCUAAUAGAAACUGAAUUGUUUAACAACUUUUGGAGGAAACUUGGAAAAUGUAACCGAUGAUUUAAUGAUCUUUAACUUAAAGCGAUUAGAAAUAUGCAGGGUGAGGCGGUCAGUUUCACCAAAUGGGGUUAGAACUUAGUUUUCUAUGCAAAGAUGGACACUCAGGUUGAAAUUUCUCAAAAGUUCCGAGUUUGUGUCAAGCAUAUUGACGAUCCAGUGGCUUCUUUCUUGUGACUGGGACAGACCUGGGAGGUGCAACACAGCUCUCCUUGCUGCUGCUCCAUCUAAUUUACAAUGAGAUCAGCAUACAAAGGGGAGUGAGGAAUCACUCUGCUAACAAGCUCCCUUCCCUCUUGUCUCUGGAAGAAUGUUGGCUGACAGGGACACAAUUAAAAAGGGAUUGAUUUAUUGAGCUGGAAUGCUCUAGCCCCCCUAAUCUCAGAAUCUCUCUGCUUCAUGCAAUCACCAUUUCCAAACAAGAGUCAGCCUACACGAAUGAAACUUUUCGUGAUCACCAGGGAGCCAAAGACGUAGUUUACCAAAGGUAGCUCAGCCCUUGAAGCCCAUUAAAAAAAACAAAAACCCACAUAAAAGAAGCCCUUUCCUGCAUGAGGGCCUGGAUAAGGAUCUGGAAUUCAAUAGGAAAGGAUGACCUAAACAAAAAGUAAGCAGUACUCAUGAAAACUGCUAACCUUGGCUCCAGGGAGGGGCACAGGUCAAGAAGAGUAAGUGGGCAAGGAGCCCUUUUUUUGUCUUUUACAUAAUGAAACUAUAAAUUUCUGUUAGAAAUCACAGGAUCAUCAAGCAUUUGGAAUGUUUAUGAGGAUCCUGGUGGGAUUCAAGAGAAGAAAAAAAAAUCUGUGGAUUUGAAUUCAAUUCUUCCUUUGAACUGUCUCAUUGAACCCAGGUGGUCAAAUCUCUGCUGUUUGUAUGCAUGUCAUUAUUUACAAUUGUUGGGAUUUGAGAGGGUACCCAAUAAAUAGCACCUAUUUUUUUUCACUAGAAUUCUGAACUGUUCGUAAAGUAAAACAAAAGACUUGGCAGAUGGAGACGGAAAUGGAGCAUCCGUUUUGUUACUGAUAAAGUGGGUGCUGGAAAAUGGAGCUUAUAUCUGUGCAUUGGUAGAUUUCUUGAUAUCGAAUACCCAACCUAAAAAUAUUACCUCCCAAUCACAGCAGCUCUGGACAGGCCUUUGUGGGACGUGUAUGGAGGGGCAGCAGAACGUACUCCUUGAUAGCAGCCUCACUCCCAAGGGAAAGAGAAAAGACGCGGCUGGGCUGCACAUACCCAGUUUCUCCUUCCAGAUUUAUCAGAAUAAGAAAACCACUUCUUCCCUGGGGGGAGUAAGUCAGGGGACAGAGAGAAACCAGGAGUGAAGUGGGACCUCUCCCACAUAGAAGAAAUCGUCAUGAGUGGGGAAGAAGCAUCCUCUACCUUCACACUUUUGAAAAUUAAUGAUAAUAUUACUAAUAAUAACAGUAAUGACAAUAAUAAGAACAAAAGUGAUCAUUUACAAAGUAUUUACUUGCUCAGGUUCUGAGCAGAAUCCCCUACCUCAUUUAAUCUUCACAACAACACAUUGAGAUAAUUUUAUGAUUGUGUCUCUGCAACAGGUGAGAAAACUGAGACACAGAGGUUGCGUAAUUGUCCAAGGACACACAGCUAGGAAGUGGUACAGCUACAGUGCAAACACAGCUUUGCCUGACUCCAGAGCCUGAGUUGUGCAGCAGACUCUGCUCUAUUUGUUGAAUGAAUAAUGAAGUAAAUGAAUAAAUGAAUAAAUGAAUGAGGUGAACUAGAGGAUAAUGUGUCUAGAAGUCUGGCCGCAUGGGGGAAAUCUGUGUGCAGGAUUGCUAGGUUUGGCAGCCGGCCCAUCUUUCCCUCAGUUCAGAGGCUGACCCUGAGGAUUUUUCCCUAGAAUGUUCUGCCCUGCCCGGCUGGGCCAGGCCAAGCAGUGCUCCAGCAGGUGGACCUUGGAGCUAGUCUUGCUCUCCCAGGAGCCCAGCGUCAGGGCUUGCUGGGGGCAAGAGCCAGGGGGCUGCUUGUCCACAACCAUCCCCUUUGCUUGGUCUCUGAUUUGCAUUCUAGAUUUCUCAGUGGCCUCAAGGCUCUGAAUGCUUCCCAGAUGGCCACUGGCCUAAACACAGGUGGCCAGGGGAGCACUUAGACAACCCACUCCAUGGGAGAGGGAUCAACCCGUCUCUGCCUGAGCUAGAAAUCUGACUCACAGAUUAGGGGUCAGGGAAGAGCGCAGCGACUGAAGCUGUCUUCAGCUCCCCGUCUCCCUGUGGGAAUGUCCCCAUCUCCCGUGCAUCUGGCCACCAUAUUUCCAGGCAUCUCUCUCACCACCAGGCAUUACACAAAAAUCAGAGCCUCUGAGAUGCCCUUUUCCCUUACUUGCUCUUUUUUUUUUUUUUUUUUUGAGACAGGGUCUCACUCUGUCACCCAGGCUGGAGUGCAGUAGCAUGAUCUUGGCUCACCACAACCUCCACCUCCCGGGUUCAAGCAAUUCUCAUGCCUCAGCCUCCCAAGUAGCUGGGAUUAUGGGUGCCCACCACCAUGCCUGGCUAAUUUUUGUAUUUUUAGUAGAGAUGGAGUUUCACCGUAUUGCCCAGGUUGGUCUCGAACUCCUGACCUCAAGUGAUCUGCACACCUCGGCCUCCCAAAAUGCCGGGAUUACAGGCAUGAGCCACCACGUGGCCUCAUUUGCUCUCUACACCAACCUGCAAUUUACGUUUGAACCCCUGGAGUGGCAGCAUAAUCUUUAUCAGACUUCCCUCCCUCCAGGUCAGGACCCCUUCCCUUCUCCAGGUACCCGCUUCCUACUCCCCACAUGCCACCUCGGCUUCCCCACCUCUCCCUUGCCCCUGUGUCCCACCCACUCCUGUACAGAAUUCUGCUAUCUUAAUCUCUUUCUUUGGAAACUCCUGUCAUUUGUAAUUAUCCCCCAUUUCCUUCCUCUACCUCAGCCUUUUUUUCCCAGGCCACCUUCGCCUUCUCAGCUUUCUUUUCAAAGAUGCUGCAUUUUUUUUCCUCCUUAUUUGGACCAACAUGACCUGACAGGGUGGCUGAAACGGCAUACUGGGGAUAGAAAUAUGUGCCAGUUCCCUCCAUAGGUUUUUGUGUUUUUUUGAAUGGGGCAUUUGCAAUCAAUUUAUGGAGUUUAGCUGAAAGGUUAAGGAGUUUUCACUUAAAAAUCAACCUCCCCAAAGGAAAAUAUUUGGUACAUCUUUUCUUUCAUUGUAAUUGAGGUCUCCACAUGCGCCUAUGCUUAGGAUCUAUUCUGGAAAAGGCUCCCAGAGAAAAACCUGUCUAGUCCAUUCAACUUCUACUCCAGUCUUAUGAAAAUGGAUUUCAUAAACAGUAGAGAACAUAUUUGUCCUUUUAUCUUCUUCAGGAUUAUCUCUCAGAGAAGUGAUGUCAAAAGGAGGUGCUUCUAAUGAUGCCAAAGGUGGGGAUGAGACUAAGCGCGUCAGUUCAAGGGUCCACGUGUAUUUGAGUGCAUCCAGGAGAGGUCUCUAUGGACAUAAAUGUCUAUGGAACAAAACAAGACAAAGCAACCUUGAAUUAUUAGCUGAGACCUAACUCCAAACCGUCCUGCAAACUACAGCACAUCCAGGCUCUAUCUCACGGAGAUUUCCUUUUCUUAAGCUAAGUGGCCCUGAAGGAGUCUGGGGAGGAUGCUGGUGACAUCCCCACCCAGACCCUGUUACUGGGCCGGUGCCCCCACACUCCUGCUGCUCUGAGUGGGGCCUACUAAAAACUCACAGCUCCUGCCUUCUCUAGAGAUUUCACCCACAGGACUUCUUCAGCAAUAGGAGACACUUCACUGGAAACAUACAUGCCCCUCACAACUGUCCCCUGCAGCCUGCAUCCAAUGACUAACCAAUAGGAGAUAUGAGAGGACACCCCUUGUUUCAAAGUCAGACCAACUUUGCCAUGUCAUAUAAGCCAUGCAAACCAGACCAUACAAGCCAUGCCCCGGAGCUCCCUGUGGGAUAAGGCUUAAGCUGGAUCCCAGCUGGGACCACAUUUUGGCCUAGUUCCUCCCUUUCCUGUCCUGCUUUCCUCACUUCCACAAUAAAUCAUGCAUACCCACAUCCUUGUCUCAGGCUCUGCAUUCAGGGAACCAGAUCUAAACCGGACUCCAAUGCCAAGUCAGCCAAGGGAUCUGCCCAUCAAUGUCCAGACCUCAGUCUCAGGUCUUGCCACUGCAGGGUGAGGAAAGAUCCCAUGCACUGAGAGAAGCAGGAGAGACUACAGCAGCAGACGCUUGCCACAGUGCUGUUCUAUACUACUUGAUCCAGAUUUGCUGGAGCUCCUCUGGUGGAGAGAGUCACAGGCUUGUGCCUCUUGGCAGGCUCAAGAAAAAAAGUAUAUCAAAAUGGGAUGGAGAGUGUCAAACAGAAAGAAAGAUGACCUUCUCUGAUGGAGCUGGGCUCCAGGUUCAUAAGAAAACCAAUAGCCCAGAGAUGCAGGAGAGCAUGUCUUUAGGCCCCAGCAACUAUGGAAGCAAGAGAGUUGAAGAGACAUGCAUUAUUUAUUCCUGGCCUUUUAGACAUGCCCAGUGAAUGCUCCAUCUCAUCUAUCAUAAGCGUUUCUCCCCUUUGUGGGUGGAAUAGGGUGGAUGAGAAGGGAUUGAGUGCAGUCUUGGUAGGGAAUGGAUAGAGAAAAGGAGAAGUGAAGUGGUGCUCUCCUCCCAGAGGCCACCUUUACUCUACCUCUCACUUCUUGGCUAUCAAAUUCUUCCUACCCCUCCUCUCUGGGAAGUCUUAGCCCACAGUUGUCUUUUGCUUCUAUCAGCUUCUCUUCCACUUUCCUGCCUGACCCAACUCCUUGUCAUUCAUUCAACAAAUAUUUCCUAAAUGCCCACUGGUCUCUCCUGCUUCUCUCAGCACGUGGGACUUUUUUUCUCACCCUGAAUUGGCACGACCUGAGAUUGAGGUCUGGACAUUGAUGGGGCAGAUCCCUUGGCUGACUUGGCAUUGGAGUCUGGUUUAGAUCUGGUUGCCUGGAUGCAGAGCCUGAGACAAGGAUUUGGGUAUGCAUGAUUUUUAGGGGUUGGGUACUUUUCCGGACAUUGGGGAUUUAUUAGCAAAUAGCUGCCAUUUGUUCCCAAUGGGGAAAGACACAAUAAACAUACAAACAGCUAAAUUGGGCACAUUAGGCUAGUGAUAGGUGAUAUGAAGAAAAUAAAACAAGAGAAUCAUGUACUUAUCAUGCUAGUGUUUGUUUCUGUGAGUCUCAUCUGCCCUGUGAAGUUGCAAGUGCUUCGUGGGCAGAGAUCUCCACUAAUACUUCUUUGCUUCUUCCAAGGAGCCUGGUCCAGAGCCUUAUCUAAGCAUCAUAAGAAAUCAACACAAACUUCAUGAUUUCUGGACAGCAAUUACACUCAGGAUUUUCAACUCUGGACCAGCCUCAGGUUUCACUCCUUUUGCCCUUGGACUUCACCCAUUGUGUGCUUUGUGUGCAGUGGUGUGAAUGCGGUCUCCCAGGGCCUGCGUUUGAGCUGGCUGCUGCUUGCUGGUGUGUGACCUACGCUGAGUCUCGACUUUCAUAGUCUCACCUCCCUUCCGGGAAAGGCAAGGAAGUGAGCAUGGAUGAGAGACUUUGUAUACAGAGAAAGAAAAUGGGACUCACAGAGGGUGAAUGACUUCCUGAAGAUCGCACAGUUAGAAAGUGGCAGAGCUGGGACUUAAAUCCAGAGUUCCUGGCUGCAAAUCUAGUGCUUGGUCAGUCUUCCAUACCAGGCAGACUCCUGAGUUCUUAUACAUCAAGUAAGGCUGAACUGGGAGAAUCUGGGAAGCUGGAUUGCAGUGCCCUCUCUAUUAACUCCCAAAGGAAAAUGAUAUAAUUUGAGAGUAUGAGCUGAUGCUAGGACUCUCUCUUCUUUCUUACAUUAUCUUCAUGGAACAUUUUGGUCAUGUACAGAUACGAAAGAGUCCCCAGAAUGUCUUCCAAAGGAAUUUCAGGACCCUAAAGCCUGGAAGCAUCAGAAAACAUUAGUCAUCUGGAUCACUGAACCAGAGCACUGCUUUGAAAUGUAAAGGAUUCCUGCAUGAAUGUCCACUCCACCCAGAAGACCGUCAUUGUUGCUGGUAGGGUGUAAUCUACAAUUUGUGGCCUUCACCAUUGUGUCAUGCAUUGAUUCCUACAUCAAGAGCCACGUGGGGUACAUGUCAUUUUCCUUCUCUUUACAAAUGAGAAAAUGAGGCUCAGAUUAAAUUACUUGCCCACGUUCAUGCAGCUAGUAAUGGAGAGAUGUGGAAUACAAAGCCAUAUUAUUUCUUAAUUCAAAUGCUGUGUUCUCAGCCACGAUGCUAUCAUGCCUGCAAGUAGACAUUUGCUGAUUGAAUGGAGUUGAAUCACACUACAGGAGUGAGUGUGGAUAAGAGCCAAGUGUCUAGUACAGACAGAAAUGUGCAGGAGUAGAGAGAAGGGUGGAUUGCCGGGAGAAAGUGUGGCACUGCCAUCAGACUGUAGGUGGCCUCGCCAUUGGGUCAAGCAAGUAUUUGGUGCUGGGGAGUAUGGAGGGGGCACACGGGCCUUCUCAGGCAGCCCAAGAAGGACGAGGCCUUAUAGGAAAACUGACUUAAGAUGAACCCUGCCAGAAAGGGCCACUCCGUCACCAGCCUUGUCUGAGGUCAUAUUUCAAAGACUGGCUCAGGGCCACUGGCUGGGGUGCAGGGCUGUGAGAUCAUGGCUGAGCAAUCUGACUUUUAAAAAAUAUAAGGACCAACUUGGGAGUUUUAUCGCAGUUCUGCGUUCUGCCGCCCAGGCAUGAAGUCAGCUGGCCUGCUUGUGACAGGGAGCAUUUCACUUGUAAUUAGCUGGUUUUUUUUUUUUUUUUUUUUAAUAUUCUGCCUAAACUGCGGUGUGGUGUGAGUGAGCCCGCUCCCUUGGAGCUGCCCCACAGCGGUAGCGGAGGUGAGUCAUGGCCAUAAAAUCUGGAAAGCUCGUAGGGGGAUGGAGGGCGGUGGAGAAAUAUAAAUUAUUGUGAUCGUCUUUCAGGAGCGCUCGAGUUAAUUAUUGUACUUUCGCCAGCUGCGUUGUGCCUUCAUCAAUGCCGAGCCAGAAGUGAUGGUUUUAGUGGGGAAAGAGUCGUUCUUUAAUGGGGCAGAGGCCCACGAAGCCCUGUGUUCUUUUGAGGGAGGUUGGGUGCAUGAAAUUCCCAGCACCAGCUGGAACCUGUGCGGAUUUGCUCUGAGACACUUGGGUGUGAGCAGCGUCACGUUUUCUUUAUUUUUCUAAAGCAAAUAAAUCUGGCUUCGUUCUCCACCUGCCAGGGCUGGCAGGCAACCCAUUCUUAGUUAUGUCUUUUUUGAUGGGGCAGGGGGGGCAGUGAGGGGUUCUUUCUUUCUUUUUUGGGGGCAUAAGGAAGCCCUGGGAAUUAGGUAAUUCAGCAAGAUCUAAAGGCACCUUCCUGGCCUUGGGUCCACUAUGAAGAAAUAAUUGCUCAUUGCCUGCAAAGUACCAUUUUGAAGGGGCUCCUCAUCUUCCUCUAUCCCAACCCUGGGCCAGGGGGUCUGGGAAGAGGCUCCCACAGCUUGUGACCUUGUGUUAUCCCUAGGCCCAAGCUUCAUUAUCCACUAUCUGGUGCCGUAGGUCUCCACUAUCAGAGACUUUUAAACCACGGUUUCUUCCCCAAUCUCAAGGAAAACACAUAACAUCUCAGUUUGAGUCACCUCUCCUCUGUCUUUCUUUUUUUAAAUUAUGUAUUAUUUAUUUUUUAUUUGAGGACAGGGUCUUGCUCUGUUGCCCACGCUGGAAUGCAGUGGUGCAUUCUUGGUUCACUGCAGCCUCAACCUCCUGGGCUCAAGCGAUCCGCUCACCUCAGCCUCCUGGGUAGCUGGGACUAUAGGCACGUGCCACCACGCCUGGCUAAUUUAUUUUUUUUUAAGAGAUGGGGUCUCACUCUGUUGCCCAGGCUUGUCUCAAACUCCUGGCCUCCAGUGGUCCUCCCACCUCAGCCUCCCAAAGUCCUGGGAUUACAGGUGAGACACUGCACCUCACCACACUUCACCUUACAGGUGAGAGCCACCUCCCCUCUCCUGAGAGAAAGAAAAAGAAACAAAGACAAGAAAAGAAAGAAAAGCACCAAACCAAAUCAAUCAAACAAAAACAGAAGUUAUAUUAAAUGUUUUCCUUGGCUAUUGGUUCAGAAAAGGAGAAAAUGACUUUUUAAUUCUUUAUAUCUCCUCUGGCAAGAAGAGGUCGAACCACUUCUCCAUAAGCUUAUCAUCACUCCAGCUGCGUGACCUUGAGCAAAUUACUGACACACUCUGAGGCUCAGUUUCUCACUGGAAUAUUUUAAGGAUUAAGUGAUAUGUCCCAUGUCAGGCACUUAGCAUGGAGCCCGACCUGGAGUUGGCUCUCAAAACAUGGCUAUUUGUGGAGGACUGUGAGCUCUGUGAAGUUGCCUAUAGCUUCUCCACCCUUGAGGACAGGGGCUGUAGUUUGCUUAUCUCUGUAUCCUCAGCAACUGGGCACCCAGUAGGCAUCCAAAAAUACUUGGUUAACUGGAUAGUUGUAAAAGGCGGAGAUUUCAGAGAGGCUGAGAAGACCAAGCUUCCUUUACCAGCCCAGGCCAACUGGCCUUCACGUUGCAUGUCCAUAGUAGACCCAUGCAUGCAUCUUGGGCAUGUGCAGUGUGUGACUCAGUGGUGUCAAGAUGUAACCAGGAGGACUGCAGAUUUGGUAUUGCUCACUCUGGAUACCAAAAUCUUGACUAUAAUAGAUAGGGUGACUUGAACAUUUUCUACGUUUUAACAAGAGUGUAUUUCCCCAUUGCCCAGCCUUUAUUAGGGCCCAUUUCGGGGGCUUUCUCUCCCAUCCUACCCUUGGUUUCUGUGAGGUUUAUAAGUGUCUCAGGUCACUGAGAAAAUGGGGGUAUGCUACAAGAAGAGUUUGAUGGGGCUUAGAUAAAUCUCAAGUCACAGCAGAUGACUUUCUUCUGUAUGAUCUAUGAGCAAGUCGCAGGUGAUAUAUAGAUAUAUAUAGCUAAGCUGGCUUCUUUACCCAGUUGACUUGGAGUGCUCAUUUAUAUGGGGUAGACUAUAACCUGCAUUUAUAUGGUUGGAAGCCUUCCAGGCACUGACCAGCAGAUUCCUAUGGCUUCCCCACUCUCCCUAUUUAAGCCAGCUUUGGCCCUCUUCAUUCCAGUGCUCCUCACCCAAUUCCCAUCUCCUGUAACGUCAUACCUCUGGUCUAGUUGUUCCCCUGUCAGGCCAGGUGACACAGGAAUGAGCUUGUCUUUCCUCCCAUGCUCUUUCCAGUUUUUUAUGGCUAUAGCUUAAACUCUGCACUUUUCUGCCCUAACACCUUCCUUUUUGAAUCUCAAGAAACUAUUUUGGAAAUAAAAAAAGUUACACAUCGCCUGGUUUUUGUUUUCUCAGUCCCAUCUCUUCUCAAGGCUAGAGAUGCUCAAAUUGACCAGGGAAAGUGUAUGAAGUGAAAAUGAGAAAAAGAACAGCACCCAGUAUAUCCUUGUGGUAUGUAUAGGCCUAUAUCCUGAUACCUGAAGGAAUUCUUCCACCUGGAACUUUAUGAAAAGGACCGAAGAAUUUGCAGGAAGAACUCAGCUGACCUGCUAUUAAAAGAGAGCGAUCUCUAUUUAUGAUGCAUAUUAAGUACUGGUGAAUGAUGCACAGAGAAGUCGCUGCGCUCUCAUAUUUAGGAUACUCUGAUUUGAUUUGCAAUCACAUCAUCAAGUAUACCCUUAUUUCAUCAUGUAUGUGAAAUGGGAGGUGAUGGUGGUGAGGAUAUAGAGAAUGACCCUUGUGUGUUGAGGGGAUGGGUGGGAGAAGGUCAGAGAAGAUCUGUUUAAGGAAACAACAGUUGAGAAAAGACUCAAGUGGCUUGAAUCAGGGAGGCAGAGGACAGUAGGGAAAAGAGCAUUCCAUGCAGGCAUGCAAAAGCCCAAGACAAGCUUGAACAAUCAGUGGCUGAUGUGGCUACAGUGGUGGGAGCAAGCAGUAGGGAUGGGGGAUGACGAGGAAAGACAGUUGAGUGUCCUAGACUGGCAACAUUUCAAAUUCUUUUUUAGGGCGAAUGAGAAGUUUGGUGAGUUUAAAACUUGGGCAGGGGUGAGGGGGACAGAGAUAUGGUCUGAUUUGCAAUGUCAAGUUAUGAAACUACAUGAAGUUCCUGAAUCACAGAGCUCACAGGCCAAAAACCAUUUGUUCCAGAGGCCUCAUAAAACUGGAGGCAGAAAUUUUUGUCAGCUUGAAGGAUAGCUUGAGGUCACCUUACUUUGCUACCUUGCAGUGGUGGCAGGGAGAAGGGAGACAGUCUUUACUGAGAGCCUAUUCCAUAUUAAUCAUGAUAAGUGGAGAAACAUAGCUGAUAUCAGGCAAAGUGCUGCUUAGUAAAAAGUAAGAUAAUCUUUAGGCUCAGGGGCCUUCCUAUACCUCUGAAAUAAAAAGGUGAAGGCAACCAAGUGACAUUCUCUUGAUAUAGAUUGACAAUGGAAGAGGAAAUGAACUCUUUCUGUGUACCUACUUUCUGUGUACCUACUAUGCACUUGACCUGAGCUAUGUGCACUAGUGAUAUCUCACGGAAUUCUCACAAUAAAUAGUUGGGUGAAGUUUAUUUAAUACCUAAUGAGAAGUGUUUGGUGAUAACAGAGAAGUCACAGCAUUUUACAGAAGACUGAGCUUUGGGGCAGUGGAGUACCUUGCUCAGGUGACACAGUGCCCAUGAGGCAGAGCUUGGACUCUGUUCAGGUUUAGGGGACUUUUCAAGGCUCCCUUCCCACUUCUCAAGCUGCUGGUGACUGACUCUUUCUCAGAAACCCCCCACCCUCAGGGUUUCAGAACCCCUUCUUUCUGCUCCUGUCUCUACCUUUCUUCUUUGAUGGCUGCCUCCUCCAUUUCCAGUGGGAAAGAAGUAUCCAGGAGACCCAUGGGAGCAUGGGAGAGAUUGGGCUGGAACAUCUAGUUGGUGGAGACCCUUGGAAGCCUUGGGACGAAGGGAUCUCUUGGGGCCCCCCACCCUUUGUGCUGAGUAUUCAUGAAGUCCCAGAAGCUGACCCAAGGGACCCUGGCCUCUCACCCAAACUGUUCAGAAGCUUUCUUGUUCACAGCCACAUCAUGACUUCCGUAAGUUUGAGGUGCAUUUGUCUUCAUGGGCGCCUUCCUCCAUAAAAGCAUAUGAAAAUAAUUUAAUGGAUUUUGGGGGGCCUUAAACAUUUCAUUUUUUUUCUGAAAAAUAAAAUUAAAACAUUUUAUUCAACUUCAUCAGUUCAUUUGUCUUUCCUUUGGAUUUUAAGGAAAUGAGAACAUUUUCAUGCGCCCCUGAAAGGGAGCCCCUACGCACUGUGCCCACCUGCCUGAUGGAGAGGUCAGCUCAGUGCUCAUGGACUAAGAGGAUACAUCAUAACUAUGGCAGAACCUGCUUGGGGGCUUCACUAUCUUGGUGUCUAGAUGCAACUUCCCCUAGAUGAGACUAAGGUGACUAUGAAGUAGUCAUGGCAAAGGCAGAAGCCAGGGUAAGGUCAGCCUGGAUUUACAGAGCCUGUGGAAGCCUGGGCUCUGGUUCCCACACAUCCUAGUGUUUGCAUGUGUGGUUUCCUCUUCUGGAUUUCCCUCCCUCAGUUGUUCAUUGAGCCUUUCCUGAGUCAUUCUUCAAUCUCAGGACAUGUGAGCACAUUCUCUGGGAGACUUCCGUGGUGCACCUGGAAACCUUGUGCUUUGUUUAGGGCAAGCCAUGUGAAAUUGCCAUUUUUGUGGGUCACAAAGGAUUACUGCCAGGGACAUAUGAAUCCUUGUGCUCUGAUCUUUCCACUGGAGUUUAAGUUCUGAGUAGGUAAAGACUGUGACUUGAACCUGGCUGCAUUCCCAGCAGCUGAUGCACUCUCCUCUACGUUUGUUGAAUGAAUGGACGAUUCGACUGGAAGGGAAGAUCGCCCAUAUUUUCAAGGUUCUCAAAUUUGAAUAGGCAUGAGAAUUUUCUGGAGGACUUGUUAAAAUGCAUAUCACUGGGCUCCACCUCCAAAAUUCUGAUACUAGAUUCCUGAUCAUUAGCAUUUCUAACAAGUUCCCAGGUGAGGCUGCUGCAGGCACCACAUUUUGAGAACCAAUGCUUUACUUCUCUAAUAGUUCUUUCCUGGGGAUGGGAUGGAGGUCAGCGAUGCAUACUAUUCUGGGUUGAAUAGUGUUUACCCAAAAUUUGUGUGCACCUGGAACCUAUGAAAGUGACUUUAUUUGGAAAUAGAGUCUUUGCAGAUGUAACCAGGUGAAGUUGAGGUCAUACUGGAUUAAUGUGGGUCCCAAAUCCGUUAUGAUGGGUGUCCUUAUAAAAAGAGGGAAAUUUGGACACACAUAGAGCCACAUAGGGAAGAACAUCGUGUGAAGAUGCACACAGAGAUUGUAGGGAUGCAUUUGCUAGCUAAGGCAUCCCAAGGAUUGCCAGUGACCUCUAGAAGAUAGGAGAGAAGCAUGGAAGCUCUCCUUAGAGCCACUGGAAGGAUCCAAUACUGCUGACAUUUUGAUUUUGGACUUCUGGUCUCCAGAACUGUGAGGGGAAAAUUCCUAUUGUUUUAAGCCAUCUUAGUUUGUGAUAAUUUGUUACCACAGUUAUAAGUAACUAGAACUCAAAAACCCAAAUCAGUGAUGACGAUACAGGGCAGGUGAGCUCCAAAAUUGGGACUUUGUCUGAGAGGGUUCUUUUGAUUAAACAGUACUCCUCCCUACAGACCAGGGCUAACUCAUAGGCAGUGCACCCAGAGUUGGCAACAAAUGGGGUCUUGAGGGGCCAGGUGUGGUGGCCCAUACCUGUAAUCCCAGCAAUUUGGGAGGUUGAGGCAGGAGGAUCACUUGAGGUCAGGAGUUUGAGACCAACCUGACCAACAUGGUGAAACCCUGUCUCUACUAAAAAUACAAAAAAUUAGCCAGGUGUGGUGACGGGCACCUAUAAUCCUAGCUACUUGGGAGGCUGAGGCAGGAGAAUAGCUUGAACUCAGGAGGUGGAGGUUGCAGUGAGGCAAGAUCCUGCCACUGCACUCCAGCCUGGGUGACAGAGUGAGACUCCAUCUCAAAAACAAACAAACAAACAAACAACAACAAUAAAAGACAAAUGGGCUCUUGGCAACUGUAUUUAUACUCACUUAAACCCACUUUUAAUUAUAUGCAAGUUAAGGGAAACUAUUUAGAACUUUCUCUGAAAGGGGCAAUAACUUCUGGGUCAUUGCUAUGGCAUUUGUAAACUGUGGGAGUGUCUUAUGUUAAUGAGCAAUGAGGGGAGCUAGGGAUCACUUUCAUCACCAUCUGCUGAUUGUAGAAAUGUCUGCAAGAGAGUGAGUAAGCCCCUUCCUCCUGCUAGACACUUGGAUACUUGGCAGACUUUUGCAAAACCGACCUAACAAGGACCUGGCCCCAGACAGUGGGACAAUGAAGAUUUCAACAUUGUUUAUGACAGCCUGUUGCUGUAUUGUAAGUGACCUCAGUACCCCGCUUCUGAAGGAAGAGUUUAUACGCUAAGAAGCCCGGAAGAUAUGUGGUGUGGAGUGAUGGAUGGAGUGUUUAGGGGUGAGGGAUGGUGAGGAGUUGGGGAGGGGAAGCAGGUGCUGAUCUUGAGGCCAUUUGCAGUGGUGUUGGGACUCAUGCCAAUUAUAAUCCCAAAAGGCAUAAUUGCUAAAGAUCACAAUUUCUAGAGUCUAAAUGCCCUAACAUCUAAAAUCCAGAAAAUCACAAUCCCAAAAGAUUAAAAUCCCUAAUAUUGAAAAUUUGAAAGCCAAAUUCUGGAGGAGGGAUUAAUGCAUUUUUGGUUGUACACAGGAUAGUUGUAUCAUGUUAGUUCCAUCAAGUUAGCUGGAACUAUUACCUUAUUAUUGUCUUGACACAAUUACCAAGGUUAUUGUACCUUGAUAAUGGAUUGGCCAUGAAGUAUGGCAAUGAUAAAAUCUUCGGUUUAAAGAUGCAUCAUUUGUCUGCGUUAGCAUCCUUUCCAUCUAAUGAAAUUCCAGGAGCUUUGAAUGAAUGAAUGCUACAUUUACCUGAAGAAGCCAGCCAUUACUGACUGGCUCAAAAAUAAUUGUGUAUAUGAUAGGAUAAGAAGACACUUAUGCAACAAUGGUGCUGUUUGAUCACCAGUAUUGUUUCUGCCAAAUAUGUGGCCUGUAGAUGAGUGCAUUCCAAAUAGGUACCUGGGUGCCCAAAGUGACAUAGAAACACGGCACAGAAGAUGGAAAAAUCGAAUAGGGAAUGCUCGUCGUGUUGGGGUCUAUUAAAUCACAGAAGAAUUUCAAAAACAGCAGUGCCAUGUAGAAAAUGAAAGUGAACAUAUUCUCCAUGGGGAGCCGUGCCCUAAAAGAAAAAAAAGUAGCUAUUCAUCUCGAUGCAAGACUUCAAAACAUAGUUAAUGAUUGUAAAAGUUGGGCAGCUCUUAUGGACUGUCUCCGUGCAAUUGCCCAUAAUCUGUCCUUGUAAUACACUUUUUCAUGUCAAAGCUUCUUUUUUGUUUUGUUUUAGUUUUUUCUUUUCUUUCUUUUUUAAAGUUUUUUUCCACCACUACUUAAAAUUAUCAGUGUUAUCUUUUACAAUUUGCUAUGUUAUAUAUUUCAUCUUUGCAUCAUUUUCAAUACUGGAGGUAUAGAUUGUGUAAAGGCUUUUUAAAGAGUUCUAAUUCAUUUUAUGUAUUUUUUUUUGAAGAUUUGACUCCAUGAAGGUGCAUUAUCACAAUGUUGGCUUUGUGCGUAAGCAUUAUAUGUGUACGUAAAAAUGUGGAAACUUCCUCAAUAAAUGAGAGAUGUCCUUUUUGUACAUUUGCACUUGUGAAAGGUAAAAUUCUAGAACUCAGCUCUUUGGGUAACUUGCCUGUGCUGUGGUGAUGACCCACUGAGGUUUUUUAACUAUCUUGUCAAAUGACUUAGGUUGUCCAUCAUGAUAUUUCAGUGACUGCAAUUAUAAAGCUGGGUGCACACAAUUACCAACGAUAGUGAUAUGUGUUUAUACAAUUCACUUUUUGACCUGUUUCCCUAUAAAUCUGGCUUGUCUGCUUGUAACUAUUAUACCCUUGUGACUGUCCUAAGCACACUUAAGUGUUUGUGCUCCAAAAAUAUGUAUUCUAUUAUUGGCUAUUUUAAUUGCAUAAAGUAAAUUAUAAAGUAUUCUGUCAUGUUCUUGUAUGUUUC